rnacentral:misc_RNA from 1 species
UGGGUUUGACAUAUAGGAAAAGCCGUAGAGAUACGGUGUCCUUCGGGGCCUGUGAUAGGUGGUGCAUGGCUGUCGUCAGCUCGUGUCGUGAGAUGUUGGGUUAAGUCCCGCAACGAGCGCAACCCUUGUCCUAUGUUGCCAGCGGAUAAUGCCGGGGACUCGUAGGAGACUGCCGGGGUCAACUCGGAGGAAGGUGGGGAUGACGUUUCCAGGUUAGG